GUGGGGAAUCUUCCGCAAUGGACGAAAGUCUGACGGAGCAACGCCGCGUGAACGAUGACGGCCUUCGGGUUGUAAAGUUCUGUUAUACGGGACGAAUGGUACGACGGCCAAUACCCGUCGUAAGUGACGGUACCGUAAGAGAAAGCCACGGCUAACUACGUGCCAGCAGCCGCGGUAAUACGGAGGGUGCAAACGUUGUCCGGAAUUACUGGGUGUAAAGGGUGCACAGGCGGUUUUGUGCGUCAGAGGUUAAAUGCCACGGCUCAACUGUGGACCUGCCUUUGAUACGGCAAGACUUGAGUGGAAGAGAGGAUGAUAGAACUCCUGGUGUAGCGGUGAAAUGCGUAGAUAUCAGGAAGAAUACCAUUUGCGAAGGCGGUCAUCCGGCUUUCAACUGACGCUUAAGCACGAAAGCGUGGGUAGCGAACAGGAUUAGAAACCCCGGUAGUCC
rnacentral:rRNA from 1 species